rnacentral:misc_RNA from 1 species
GAUGAAGAACGUAGCGAAAUGCGAUAAGUAAUGUGAAUUGCAGAAUUCAGUGAAUCAUCGAAUCUUUGAACGCACAUUGCGCCCGCCAGUAUUCUGGCGGGCAUGUCUGUUCGAGCGUCAUUUCAACCAUCAAGCCCCAGGCUUGUGUUGGGGACCUGCGGCUGCCGCAGGCCCUGAAAACCAGUGGCGGGCUCGCUGUCACACCGGGCGUAGUAGAUUUUAUCUCGCUCAGGGCGUGCUGCGGGUUCCGGCCGUUAAAAAGCCUUUUUUACCCAAGGUUGACCUCGGAUCAGGUAGGAAGACCCGCUGAACUUAAGCAUAUCAAUAAGCGGAGGA